UACAGAGGUGGCAAGCGUUGUUCGGAAUUACUGGGCGUAAAGGGCGCGUAGGCGGACAGUUUAGUCAGAGGUAAAAGCCCAGGGCUCAACCUUGGAACUGCCUUUGAUACUGGCUGUCUUGAGUUCGGGAGAGGUGAGUGGAAUGCCGAGUGUAGAGGUGAAAUUCGUAGAUAUUCGGCGGAACACCAGUGGCGAAGGCGACUCACUGGCCCGAUACUGACGCUGAGGCGCGAAAGCGUGGGGAGCAAACAGG
rnacentral:rRNA from 1 species